AUGACAACAAACACCCAUUGCCAUUCAUACAUUGCAUCACCUUUUCUUCAUAGAAUGCCUGCCCCUAAAAGACAACAGACUUCUCAGGAUCCUCAAACUAAGAGAAGAAAGUUGGAUCAGAAUGAAGUGGCCAUGCCAUCUAACAAAAUGACACCAGCCUCUGCAACAUCAAGCAAGCCCCAUAGAGAAGGACCUUCACAGAGAAGGAAUAAGAAAAAGUCCCCAGCACAACGAAAAGACAGAAAUAAACCAUCAAAGUCCGGCCGUCAUUCCUCCAAGACAAGAUCAGCCCAAAAGGCCACCACAAGGACCAAGUCCAAUCCCCCUGUCAAGAAUGCUAAGCUGCCGAAAGCCACAAGUACCUCAUCAAAUAAUCCCAACUCUAAAGGAACCCUAAAAAGACCAGCCAAGAUCUCAAAAACAGCUUCCACAGAGUCAGAUGAGGAGCUUAUCAGAACUCGCAAACCCGAUUGCAUCAGAAAAUACUCUAAUGGGGAUAGAGGUAAGCGUAAAGGGGCACAGACUAACCCAAAUGAAGCAGCCUUACCCUCAGACCCUGUGCAAAUGGAUCACAAUUAUGGUAUACCCCCUGCAUCUCGUGGUAGUCAUUCUGAAUGUGAUCAAAGUCAAACGAAGGGAGUCGCAGAGUCCACCAGAAGCCCAGAGAGCCAGAGAGAUGUAAAGAUGGGAACUCAAGCAUCUUCAAUGAAGGCUUCAGAUCCUGUACCUGGACAACCUGAGCAGGUGAACCAGAGCAGUGAGACACAGGAGAUGCAGGGAGAUUCUGUGACUACUCCUACAGAUGAAGUUAAUGAGAGUGUAGAGACCAAGCCUGACACACAAAUAAUGUCUCCUCUCGCUAUAUUAGCAUCUUCUGAGAAAGCUUCAGACCCCAUCCCUGAGCAGUUGAACCAGAGCAGGAAGAUGCAGGGAGAUUCUGUGACUACUCCUACAGAUGAAGUUAAUGAGAGUGUAGAGGCCAAGCCUGACACACAAAUAAUGUCUCCUCCCGCUAUAUUAGCAUCUUCUGAGAAAGCUUCAGACCCCAUCCAUGAGCAGUUGAACCAGAGCAGUGAGAUGCAGGUUGUUCAGGAAGGUUCUGUGACCACCCCUACAGUUCAAGUUAAUGAGAGUGUAGAGAGCAAGCUUGAUGCAUGUAUCAAGUGUGCAGACCCUGUAUCUGAACAGAGAACCAAGAUGCAGGAAAAUGCGACGACCACCCCUGCAGGUCUUGUUAAGGAACGUCUAGAGACUAAGGUCAAUGCGGAAAUAUUAUCUCCUCCAGCUAAAGGCCUAGUAGCAUAUAGCAGCAGUAGUGAUUCCGAAAGUGAAAGUGAGGAAAAUGAAAGGAAGGCAGUCGAAGAGUCAAGAGAUGUGACAAUGGAAACUCAAGUAUCUUCAGAGAAGGUUACAGACCCUGUACAUGAACAGGUGAAGCAGAGCUGUACGAGCCAGCAGAUACAGGAAGAUUCCAUGACCACCUCUACAUAUGAAGUUAGUGAAGGUCCCAUGACCACCCCUAGUGAGAGUGUAGACACCAAGCUUGAUACAAAUAUAAAGUAUCCAUCUAUAGAAGCGUUUUCAGAGGACGCUUCAGACCCUGUCCCUGAACAGGUUAAUCAGAUAUGCAUCGAAAUAGAGGAUAUGCAGAAAAAUUCCAUGACCACCUCUCCAGAUGAAGUAGUUGAACAUUUAGAUACCAAGGAUGCAAAAAUAGAUAUCCCUCCACCUCUAGAAGCGUCCUUUGAGGAGACCCAUACAGUUGAAGUCAGUGAGAGUGCAGGGACCACGCUUGAUGCACAUAUAAAGGGUCCACACCCUGCAACUGUACAUGUGAUGCAGAGCACUGAGAUGCGGGAAGAUUCUGCGCCCACCCCUGCAGAUCAAGUUAGUGAGAGUUUAGACACCAAGCUUGAUAUCGAAGUAAAAUCUCCUCCGCCGGUGGAAGUAGCCUCAGAAGAGACUUCGGACAAUGUCUCAGAACAGGUGAAGCAGAGCGCUGAGAGACAGGAGGUCCAGGAAGAUACCAUGACCAUCCCUACAGAUAAACCUCUGGAAAGUUUAGAGACAAUGUCGGGUGCUAAGAUAAAGUCUCCACCCCUAGAAGCACUUUUCAGCGCUCUGAAGGAGUCCAGUCUUUGCAAACACCCCCUGUCUGACACAAUGCGCUCAAAUGUCAAAGAGUUUCUGGAAGUAGAGGAUUCCUUAGAAAUCAUGAAUACAGACUGUGACUUUGGUGUGACGGAGAGCAUUGAGUGUACCUUAGACCUGGAGACCCCGAUUAUUGUUGAGGAUAUGGAGAUCGGUCACUGUGUUGUGGAGGUGGUGGGAGAGAAUGGGGAAGAUGUGGAUAUGGAUAGUGAUCUGGAAAUCAUAGACAACUCUAAGGAGGUGCCAGAGAAGACAGUCCAGCUAACUAAAGGGUCUGAAGAUGAGUGCCGUCUAGAUAACAGUGAAGCUGGUACUGAAAAGAAAGGCACACAUUCCUCUAACCAAGACAGCACAAAUAGUGGCAAGAAGGAAGUUGCCAAAAAGACACAGUGUAGCCCGGAAAAACCUAAGAAACAGCAGAUGAACCCUCAGGCCCGGACUAAAGCCCGACUAGCGGCACUAGCUGAGCAAAAGGCCGCCGCCUCCAAAAAAGCGAGCAGGCAGCUCAACCUCCUUGCCUUAUGUGAGGAAAUAGCGGACGAUAUCGCCACGGACACCAUGCUAUUAAAGACGGAGGAAGAGGAUGAGCAGGUUGUAACGGUUGAAGCUGAACCCAGCAAGGAGCCAGAAUGCCCACAGCCUUUCACACAGACUGAGACUGUCCCUAUCCCUCCAACUCCUGCCGGGCCCAAGGAGCCCUCUACCCCAGUAGCACCCAUUGCUGCAGUUUCUGCUCCAGCCAAGCCCCCAGCUCCAGAGACACCACAGAGGCGCUUCUUCAUCAGCCAAGUGACGGUGCCCCUCAAAAUCCACGAGAAGAAGAAGCUUACCAGGUUCCAGAGGCUGCGGCAGGUGGAGCUGCAGCGAGAGAAGAAUAUGUCCUGGACCAUGGUGAAGAAGCUCAAGUCCGAUCAGGCCAAUCAGAAGAUGUUUCCGGAGACAGAGUCUAAACCUGCCCCCCCAUUACUGUCCACUCCAGCAGUAGCAGCACCCAUCCCAGUGACCACAACACCCUCACCCCCCUCAGCCAGUCCAGCAGCACCCACAGUAGCUGCACCCUGUCCUACCCCAGCCGCAGCCAGCCCAGCAGUAACCCCUAAGCUUGAGCCCCCCAAAGUUGAGCCCCCCAAAGUGACCCCAAGUAAGGGACCCACCCUUAGAAAGAGGACACUUCCAGCAGUACCCCCACCGAUGCCCAACGGGCUGAAAGCUCAGAAGGCCAAGCCUGUGGCGGAGUAUAAGCCUUACAAAGCCAGGCCCAAGUACUCUUUUGAUGACUUUCAACUGGAUGACGAGCCGAAACCCACAGUGCAGAAGGCAGUAUUACCGACCGUGCAGAGGGCAGCAUUGAGACCUACAUCUACCACCAUUCCGAGGGCAGCAGUGACACUUACGACAGCGGCCAAACAUGAGGUAACUUUCUUGAAUGAUGAUCUUAAAUGAUAAAAUG
rnacentral:lncRNA from 13 species